rnacentral:rRNA from 1 species
UAGGUGGUUUGUCGCGUUGUUCGUGAAAUCUCACGGCUUAACUGUGAGCGUGCGGGCGAUACGGGCAGACUUGAGUACUGCAGGGGAGACUGGAAUUCCUGGUGUAGCGGUGGAAUGCGCAGAUAUCAGGAGGAACACCGGUGGCGAAGGCGGGUCUCUGGGCAGUAACUGACGCUGAGGAGCGAAAGCGUGGGGAGCGAACAGGAUUAGAUACCCUGGUAGUCCACGCCGUAAACGGUGGGUACUAGGUGUGGGUUUCCUUCCUUGGGAUCCGUGCCGUAGCUAACGCAUUAAGUACCCCGCCUGGGGAGUACGGCCGCAAGGCUAAAACUCAAAGAAAUUGACGGGGGCCCGCACAAGCGGCGGAGCAUGUGGAUUAAUUCGAUGCAACGCGAAGAACCUUACCUGGGUUUGACAUGCACAGGACGCCGGCAGAGAUGUCGGUUCCCUUGUGGCCUGUGUGCAGGUGGUGCAUGGCUGUCGUCAGCUCGUGUCGUGAGAUGUUGGGUUAAGUCCCGCAACGAGCGCAACCCUUGUCUCAUGUUGCCAGCGGGUAAUGCCGGGGACUCGUGAGAGACUGCCGGGGUCAACUCGGAGGAAGGUGGGGAUGACGUCAAGUCAUCAUGCCCCUUAUGUCCAGGGCUUCACACAUGCUACAAUGGCCGGUACAAAGGGCUGCGAUGCCGCGAGGUUAAGCGAAUCCUUUUAAAGCCGGUCUCAGUUCGGAUCGGGGUCUGCAACUCGACCCCGUGAAGUCGGAGUCGCUAGUAAUCGCAGAU